CCCGGGGCAGUGUGAGGGAAGCCAGGGUGGGGGUCUGGUGUAGGAGUGUGUGGGAGGGCAGAGCCUAGGUAUGAAGUUGGAGAGGAAAAGGAAAGGAAAGACUUGGCAAUUUUCCCCAUGAUACUAGUGAUAAGAUUAUAAGGAUGUUUCCUAAUUAUACAGAAAAGAGGCUCAUAAACUUAGGCUCCAACAGACCCCUUUGUGAUCUGGUGAUCACCUGAACUUGUAAGAGUAUGCCUGUGUCCCUGGGUAUAUGUGAAUUUUUCUGAAACCAUGGUUUAUAGUUUUUAUCAGAUUUUUCAAAGAUGACUAAGGUCCCCAAUAGAUAAGCAAGAAGACCUGAGGGUCAGAAGAGCCAGCGUGGGUCAUGUACAGCUGUCACCAGGGAUAGUAAGGAGAAGUAAGAACACUUGACCAGUAAGAAGAGCGAAGAUUAGAUUUUGCACAGUUGCCAGAAUGCAAAAUCGAGAUGAUGGAUAUGAAAUGCAAACGAGCAAAGUUAGGCAUGUUCCUUCUUUAUCCUCAAGGACGCUCAGCCAGAGCCUGCAGCGCGCUCCCAGACAGACCACAGCUCCCAGGUUCCUCAGCUCCUGUGAGGACCCACAGCUGGGGUGGCCCACACAGAGACUGGGAUUCCGCCAACCUCACCCAGAAAUGCUGCCUCUCCAUUUUCAUGUUCUUGUUUGCUCUCUCCUGCCUGGUACCAUGCCUGACCACCUGACCCUUCCAGGGACUCUUGCCGCAAGCUGGCCUGUUCACCAGGUGCAAACAAUUUAUGCAGCACUUUCUAUCCAUUCUCCAGUGUUUGUGGUGCAAUUGGAAAAUGCAAAGGUUAUUUUUUUCAGGAGCAUCCUGAAGCAGGUCUGGGAUUCAGGCCUGUCAAAAUUGUUCCCUGCAGAUACAUCUGGAACAUUCCAUUAGCAGCAGGAACUCUGACAACUGUCAGAGUGGGGAACCAGGUAACCAAGACCUUUACCAUGGAGGUCAUUAGAAAUAAAACCCCAAUUUUCACAUCUCCCUAGAGGUAUGUUCCUCCCUGGUGGGAGGGGCUGAAGGCCUAUAAGCACCCAUCUCAGCCCCAAGAAGCCCAGUUCUUCCAAUGUCCUUCAGCCUCUACCAGCUGCAGAACAAUAAACAAACUCUGUCCUGUG